GACGAACGCUGGCGGCGUGCUUAACACAUGCAAGUCGAACGCUGAAGCUCAGCUUUUGUUGGGUGGAUGAGUGGCGAACGGGUGAGUAACACGUGAGUAACCUGCCCCCUUCUUUGGGAUAACGCCCGGAAACGGGUGCUAAUACUGGAUAUUCACUGGUCUUCGCAUGGGGGUUGGUGGAAAGGGUUUUUCUGGUGGGGGAUGGGCUCGCGGCCUAUCAGCUUGUUGGUGGGGUGAUGGCCUACCAAGGCUUUGACGGGUAGCCGGCCUGAGAGGGUGACCGGUCACAUUGGGACUGAGAUACGGCCCAAACUCCUACGGGAGGCAGCAGUGGGGAAUAUUGCACAAUGGGCGCAAGCCUGAUGCAGCGACGCCGCGUGAGGGAUGGAGGCCUUCGGGUUGUGAACCUCUUUCGCUCAUGGUCAAGCCGCAACAAUGGUUGUGGUGAGGGUAGUGGGUAAAGAAGCGCCGGCUAACUACGUG
rnacentral:rRNA from 1 species